CUCCGUCGCGGAGGCCUCACUUGGGGGAGAAGGUGGGUUCGACUCUUUUCCGAAAGGACGCUGCGUUUUUGCGCUGUCGCCCGUCCCCUCCCGGGCUCCGCGCAGGCCAAGGGCGCCCUCUGGCGACGGGGCCCGGCGUCGGCCCGGUGUCGGCCCGGGGCUGCCUCGGCCUUCUCUUCUUCCAGCCGGUCAGACAGAGCGCCAUCAGCAAGCGCCUCUAGCCGGCUACCAAAUGUAUUCGUAAUAAAGCCACGCCCCCAUCUGAGGCAGACUCAUGGUGUAUCAUCAUCCGUGAAUUUACACCCAAGGAAACUGAGGCACAGAGAAGUUGAAGAGCUGUCCCAAGUCGGUAGAAGGACCAGGACUCGCACCAUGGCUGGCUGUGGACUUGCAGCCACCCUGCUGUGCUCUGAGCCUGAGGCCCUGGAAGGUCAAGGCCAAGCUUAUUUCUCUGUAAGGGACCCAACUGCUGCACAGCAGGAAAGAGGCAGGGCCUCCACUGAAAACCAGGGCUUUUCUGACUAAAAUCCACCUCUUCCGUACCCUGCUGUAGCAGUGCCCAUGUGCUGUUUAUAGCAGCGAACUCCUAGAAGCAUAAAUGGAGAUGUCCAAUGUUAUGUGGUGUAGCUAUACAAAAUAACAGGCCUUAAAAUUAUAUGGAAAAAUAUUUAUUUAUGGCCAAAGGUGUUCGAGAUAUACUGAUGUAGAAGGCAGUUAUGAAGCAGUAUGCAAUUUCAAUUUACAUGGAAAAGGUAGUAAGAGAGAAGAGUGAAAUACAAUUUCUAGCCCAUUAUAUCGCCGUAAAUGUAAAUGGCCUGACAAUACCAACGCUGAUGGAAAUAUGUGGAAAUGAGAAACUUUAUCUACUGCUGCAGGGAGUGCAUAUUGGCAACAACCCUCUGGAAAUCAACUUGGCAAUCUUGAAAUGGGGGUAACCUUCAACCCAGCAAUUUCACUUCUAAAAACACAUCUUGGGAGAAAUUUACAAAGUGUGCGAGGAGAGAUUACGGCUGUAGCUCAGUGGUAGAGUAGGCACCUUGUAUGCAUGAGGCUGUGAGUUCAAUCCCCAGCACCACACACACACACACACACACACACACACAAGGAAAUUU
rnacentral:lncRNA from 1 species